UAUAUUUUACUAACCAAAUACCGAAAAAAACCGAACCGAACCGAAACCAACCCGAUAUUCGGAUUGAACACCCGUAAUCCAAAUGAAGCCAAACUAUUGUUUCAUUCUCCAAAAUAUAAUAAAAAUAAUAACUUAAUCCCGCGCAAGGCGCGGAUCUUAUCCUAGUCCUAUACUAAAAGGGAGAUAUACUCAACAGAGAAGCAUGCCACCUAAGCUCUCUAUCCUAUACUAAAAGGGAGAUAUACUCAACAGAGAAGCAUGCCACCUAAGCUCAAAAAAUCAACCAAUCAAACUAUUUUAAACUUCCAUGUCAUUUUACCUUUAUACAAAAAUUAAAAUUUACGGUAUUAACCAAACUAAAUGUUUUGACUCAUCAUCUAUUUUCACGUAACUUUUUUUUAAUACUAUAUGUUCCAUAAAUUGUGAUGUCUACCUUUUGGAUUCCAGCUGUCAGUUUAAUUGUUUUCAGUUUCGGCCAUGAAAACACCAAUUCUUCAGCUGCCAUAAAUCAGAAACUGGUUAAAUUCUAGAAUGAACUUCCCCUUCCACUUCUAAAGUUAGGCUUCUAGCUCCUUCCUGCAGUGAUUUCCGUUAGAACCUUAAGCGGCAGCAAUACAUCCUCAAACGACAUUACUCUAACAAUUCAAUCCACAUCUCCGCCGGACCUCCUAAAACGUUGUCGGAAGGUUUCUAUGGUUCUAGAAAGAUCGCAAAAUCAUGGGAAUCGUACUCCUCCUGUUUGAUCUAAAGGUAGUCUAAACCUAACGUCUCUAAUCAAUGUUUUCUGUUUUUGCAGAGACGGUCUACAAUUUAAGAUCAGAGUUAUCAAAUAAGGUGAUCUAGCGAAAGAUGAUGUUAGAAGAUCUUCGUGUGCAAGCGAAAUGAGCGGCUUUACGGGAGGUGGCGAAGCUCUUGCCGUUACCGAACUUUUGCAAUAUAUUUCUUCAAUCAAGGCCGAUUGCAUGGCACGUCAACCGGUAUGCUAACAUGAUCAUUUACUCUAAAAUUCUGCCGGUAUGAUUGUGAUGUCAAUUAGUGUCGAAGCUGGUGCUCUUCGGGAGUCUUUGAGUGAUGACAAAAAAGUUGUUGAAAUACGAGGUCACAUGAAUUCUCUUCGUGUGGAUUCCAAGCAUUUUUACUGCCUCACUUUUUUGAGAAAAUAUUUCAGGUGUAAGAUAUAUAUAAUAUAACAUUCUUUGUGCUCUUUUAUAGAAGCUAACAUCAUUUGAUGGUAACGAGAGAUUUGCCUUAGCAGCUGUUUGAUAAGAGAUUAGGAGGCUAAGGUUUGUGUAUAUUCAUUCUAAUAUUUCAUUUACUUUGCUUUUUGUGCUUAUAUGAAGCGGCCAGAAAGCUUUAGUUCCAGAGUUACUCUUUGAUGCCAAAAGUAUGGUUUAUGAUAACUAAUCUCAAUAGCCUUUAGAAAGCAUGUGCUUUAGGGCUACAAAGAGAUAGUCCAAUCAGAUUACCAUUCAUGUGUUUCUUUUCCGUGAGGAGACUCAGACGAAAAGGUUGAAAAGGAUGUUUCAAACAAGAUUCAAGAUUCCAUAUCAAUUUCUCGACACUCAUCCUUUUGUAGACUCUUUAGUCCAAUCUGGUUACCAUCUUUCAUUGGAAGUAAAACAUCAAAAUUUCUUUAUCUCGAAGAUGAGAAGGCUUAUCAAAGAAACACAGUAUACACUGCUGCUCUACAUUCAAGCUUCUCAUGCGUCUGAUUGGACUGAUAACAAAGGAAAUAAAGAAGCAAAUCAGAGUGUCGAAAAUAGUCGAAGGAGAUACAUUGAUGGUGAACAUUGGUUUGAUGUUGAAGGGAGCCAGGAUUAUGGGAGUGAAUAAAGAUAUGUUGAGAAUGCAACUGAUCAGUCUAGAAUGGAUCAGUAACCGUAUUCCUUCAUUGAUUUGACGAAUCUAAGUUCUGUUUUGGUAAAAGUUUGAGACUUAUUCCUUACAUAAUAUCUGACCAUAAAAUGUUUAUAUUUGACUGGGAUGGUUAAGUUUAGAUUUGCCUGGGAUGGUUAUUUUAGUUUUUAGGGCUAACUCUUCUUACUUCUUUGGAAGAUAGACAUAUCUUAUGGUGUUUUUUUCUCUCUCUGAACUAACUUUACGCUACCUUGAAUUUUCUAUAUGUUUUACUCGCUGAGGAGACUGAGGUAAAGGAUUGUGCGGAUGAUUUUGGAAGAGAUGAAAAAUUGGAUUUAGAUGACAAAUGAAUCAGAGUAUGAUGAUGAUGAAUAUGGUGGGGGAGGAGUUUGAAGAGAGAUAAUUAAGACAAGAGGAUCAUGAGUUGGUAAAUCAGUAGGACAAAGAUCUGGAGGAGGAAACUGAGGCAGAGAAAAAUGCAGGUGAGUUUGCCGACGAGAUUGGAGAUGGUCUGAUCUUGAGAGUGAAGGUGAUGAGGUGCAUGCUUAUCAAGAAGUCAAGUUUGGAGAAGUUGUUGAUGUGUAAGAAGAGCAUCAUGAUGUUCUCCAUGAUAGACGUAAGCGUAAAGAUUUUGAAAUAUUUGUUAGAAGCUUAGACAAAGGUACUACGGAGGAGGAUUUAAAUAAAGUAUUUAGUCCCUAGGCAAGUGACUGAAUUUAAAAUUAUGAAGAAUCCACAGACAAAGAAGAGCAAGAGUUAUGCUUUCUGCUUUUUGUAUUUGUGGAUUAGGCAAAACGAGGUGUUAAAGAGCUUAGAACCCAAUGGUAAUCCUUACACUGUAGUAUUUAAUGGAGCGUUUUGUAGCUUUACACUGAACAUCACUCCUUUGGUCAUUUUGUGUUUACCUAUUAUAUAUAAAGUAUUUUUUGUUUCACUAUAUAAAUUGUUUUUAUAUUUCAAUGUAACUUUAUAUUUAUUGGAUAUUGUGUUGCCAAUUAAAUUAUGUAAACUACUGUGUAAUUGAUUAAAUUUAUAUAUUAAAUAACAAUUUUUAAAGUAAUAACUUUUGAAUAUUUGUUCAAAAAAACUUUUAAAUAUUACAGAUUUUAAUUAAAACUGGUGGAUAUAAACCUCAGAUAGAGUAUCCACGUAGGCGAAAAUAAUCGGCCAGUGAGAAACUAUAUUUUUGCCAUGUCACAUCCUCUAUUUGUUUUUACAAAAUAAUUCUUUAACUGUUUACUUAAACAAUUAUAACCGAAAAUAGUUUUUUAGUGAAAUAUAUUAUUUAUAUAAAUAUAAUUAUAUUUUUUUACAUAAUGGUUUGUAAAGAAAUAUUUAGUGUAAAUAAUAUCAUAAUUUUAUAAAAUACUAAAAUAAAUUAAGCUGGUUUUCAACUUUCACAAAUAAAAAAUAUUAUUUGUAAACUUAGAAAAGAAUAUAUCAAGAAUACUCUUUUUAGGAGAGAAAAUAUAAAAAUAUAUCGGAGACAAAUCCAUCUAUAUUAUGAAAUUCCUCUAUUUUAGAAAUAAAAUAGAGGAAUACAUUGGAGAUGGUCUAAGGCAUGGCCGACGUAAAUGAUCGACGUUGAGAUUUCAGCUUUUCUGAUUCUUACUAUUCUAAUGUUUCAAUAUAAUUUUAAUAUUCCCUUUGUUUUAUAAUAUAAUGGUUUAAAAGUAUUUUUUGUUUCACUAUAUUGUUUUUUAUAUUUCAAUGUAACGUUAUAUUUAUUGGAUAUUGUGUGGCCAAUUAAAUUAUGUAAAUUAUUGUGUAAUUGACUAACUUUAUAUAUUAAAUGACAGUUUUCUAAAGUAAUAAUUUUUAGAUAUUACAGAUUUUAAUUAAAACUGAUUACAUUUUGAAACAAAUAGAGUAAUCUAUAAACUAACUUUAUAUAGAUAUGAGGAAAAAAUUGUAAAGUGGUCUCACUUUAAAUUUUUCUCAUUCUGUACAUUCCUAAUUAGAGUGAGAUAAUCAACAUCUAAUAUUAUAUUACUCUCAGUAUAUUAGAAAUGGUCGAACAGUAAACCAAUUAAGUAAUGAUAGAAUGAAGACAUAAAGAUGUAUUUCCAGUUAUCACAAAUAUAUAAUCAAUUGACAACGACUUAAUUAUGUCCAGCGUAAGACAACCAAGAAGAGUUUCCAUACAUUCUAAUUUUAUAAUAUCUCACUAUAAUAGUGGCUAAAUCAGUUUUCUCUAGCACAAAUACUCACUUCAUUCUUGGAGUUUAAGCUUUUCUAUCUGAUGAUAUUAGUAGUUUGAUC